GUUCCCUUUAAUUAUUUGCUCUGCCAACAUAAAUAAUAAUAAAAAAAAUUGACCAACUGGGGUAAUACAAAUGCGGUCCCUCAUUUCCUUACGGGAAUCUUUAUCACGUCUGAUAUUAAAUGUUAAUAUAAGAAAUACCCAGAUAGCAACUUCCCUAGUCUUGGCUGCCAAUAUGUUCAAUGGCUAGAUCAAUCAGGUCAGGCGAGCCAAGACAGGCUCCAUUCCACUCGCUUAAAUCAGAGUACCUAGCUUAAUCCUACAAUGUUAUCUCCACGCUAAUAAUCAUUAGCUGGGUUUAGUUUAAUCAGUGAAGCAAGUGCUUCAUGGUGCCAGACCUCCAAGUGAUGAACUCAGAACAGUGAAGAUAAGAUUUUAUAUCUUAUAAAAUGAGUCGUAUUAUCAAACCUUGGGUUCUUCAAUCAUGCAUAUUCUCUGGCUAAGCUUGAUAUGGAAUACAGCAAGUCAAUGGCUAUGAAUCGCCAUCUGGAUACCAAGAUAGGAGCAAGCCCUUCCGCAACCAACCAAGAAAAGGUCAUUUCCUUUUGUCUUGAUAACAGGGGCGUGCAGAUGUAGUACAAAGAAUGAGAAUGGAUAAUAGGAUACAAACAAGCUAUGCCGUGCCGGCUUUAGUCACGGUUUGAUCUUGCUUUCCCUGGAUAGAUACGAAAGUGCCUCAGAUGGCCACAGUAAAAUAGCAGCAAUUGCGGUAAGCCAAAACCACCUUGCACCUCAUCAACUGUCAACCUAUCUCAGACCUAACCAAGGACAAGGCCUGCAAUUGCAGCUCAUCUUGACAUCUCCAACUACGAAGCAAUCUUCUUGCCCUUGUUUUUCACAGGCUUCUAAAUACAUUAAAUUUCAAUUCUUUCAUGACUGACAAAGUUUCAGAAAGGAUACUCUGUGCAUAAUCAUCAGUCAUAUGGAUGCUCCAGUGCAUGCAACGGCUAUCAAAAGGGAAGUUAAUGUGACAGUGCAUUACAAGCUAAGGUUCUCAGUAAGAUAGGGCCAAUACAAACUCUAACUACAGAUCCUCAACAUCUUAUCACAUAGGAGUCCCAUAGAUAUGCCUACAGAUGAAACCCCAAGCAUCACAUGACCUUAAUGUAAAUUGAUCUGAAAAAUAAUGUGAAUAAAAUAACAAAAGAAAUAGCAAGGAAAAAAAAUUUUGUUGUGGUUGUAGUUUUACUGGAUCUGUUUAGCAUGUGUCAGUUCAUAUAGACAUAACAAUAAAGAUCCGGGCUUUGACUUUCCGGUCAGAAGCUAUCAUCAUUCAAAUUCAGACAUCAGAAAAUAAGAAAGUUGGAGCAAAUUCAACAAAUUUUAGUGCAUGUUUGGUAUGAUGUAAUUGAAAAUAAUGUAAUGUAAUGAAACAAAUUUUAAUUGCAUUCCAUUUUGCGUAAUUACAUCUUAUCAGACAAGCUUAGUGUCUUCCUGACUAAUUGAAUUUUACGCUAUUAAAGACUUUUAUUGCUAAAACUACAUUGAAAAGACAACAAUUCAACAAAUUACAGUAUAUGCUACGGUACAGGCAUCAAAGUCAAUCAUCUUAACCUACAUAACCAGCACUGACGGCAAAAAGGGGGAAAAUAUCUGGCAGAAACCCCUAUAACUCAUAAACAUAUCUUUGAUUCUUCACAAGAACCAUCAAUGUGGAGUACUCAAGUAUAGAGCAAGACCAAUUCAAAUUAUUCAGAAAGAGCUCCCAUACACCUAAAUGCAUCAAACAAUUCACCAAUCUUACAUUUAAUGAAAUGCUAAUCAGCUAGCUAUCAUUAAACAACCACAUGAAAUCCACAAUGAAAAUGUUGCAACUAAACUUAAAAAUCUUGGAGAUGAAGCUUAGCAACAUGAAGCUUAUUACACAUACUACACCAGGCACAUCCAUUAUACAGUUAUUACCCACAUAGUGAUACAGAAGAAACCAAACCAAAAAAAAAAGUGUCAUUUCUCUUAUUCUCACAAUAGUAAAUGAGUAAUGCAUUUUGAAAGGAAGAAUAACCCAUCUUGAUGGACAAUAGACACCUCAAGACAAUCUGUUAAACAUACUGCUUAAUGUCAAAUUCCAAAAGAGAAUUAGGUAAAGGAUGGAUGGUUUAUUCAAAUGUAAGACUUCAUAAAGAAAUAAAUCCAACUUGAGGUAUGCCAAAUCCUACUUCCCUUAAAAGAAUAAAAUAAAUUUCCUAGGGAGAACAUUAUUUCCACAGAUGACUAACAGACCCCCCUGGACAUUUUCAGUAGAUGAUUGAAACAUCCUUGUGCUCAUCCUGACAUGCCAAAUGGUUGUCCAGUCAUGCUGUUGCAUUUCACAUCCUUGUAAACCAUUAAUGCCGCAACAACUGAAAGGCUAGCCUAAAUGUUAGUUUGAUGAGCAUUACCAUUAGAAUAAAUUACAUAAUCUCAGGUGAAGAGAAAUAAACUUGUCAAAAUGCAACAUUCACACCACAUUAUAGGUGCAGCUUUCUUCAUUAAUUUUUCUUAAAGUUGAUUCACAAUAGAUUAAGCACUAAGAUUUAGUAAAACUAUCACCAGUACAACUCAAGAUAUGGCAGAAAGAAUUAUUCUAUGUGAAUUAUUUUGGACUAUAUCAUAAAAAAAUCUAAAUCUAAAUGCCCAAAGAAGAACAGAAUGAAGAAAGAAUUUAUUUAACUAACCUCAAUGAGUUCAGAAUUAAAGCUUAGUUGAGUACUCUGGCCAAAUCUAAAUGGGGUUAAUUACAUGAGAUGUUGACCAAAAGAAAUUAUUGAUGAUGAUUGUGAUGAAAAAAAAACUCGACGGAUGCAAACAAACAGAAAGAAAACCUUGCACCCACCUGAACACACACACACACACACUUCUUUCACAAAUCCAAAUGAUCCAGCAGAUUCCCCAAAAACACUUUUAAUAUUUGCGCAUAUUUGAUAAGUGGAAAGAAAAGGAAAAUUGAUGAUUCCAGCCUUGAUCCCAUGUUCAUAAACACUACAUGUUUAACAUAUAGAGCACGUAUCCCAACAAUAAAUCUGGAUCUAGUCUUUUCUUUUGUACACAAUACAUUACUUACAUUUAAAGAAAAAGUAAUAAUGUUAAAUACUAUGUCAUUACACUUUGAGCCAGCAACCUCACAAUUAAGCAUGAAGUAAGAACUUAAAGAAAACAUAAAACAAUGUCAAGAUAAGAAAGUGACUUUUCCUUUGAUCGGCACCUUCAUCAUUGAGUUGCUAGUAUGAAAAA
rnacentral:misc_RNA from 1 species